AGCACCGGCUUAACUACGUGCCAGCAGCCGCGGUUGAUACGUAGGGUGCGAGCGUUGUCCGGAUUUAUUGGCGUAAAGGGCUCGUAGGUGGUUGAUCGCGUCGGAAGUGUAAUCUUGGGGCUUAAACCCUGAGCGUGCUUUCGAUACGGGUUGACUUGAGGAAGGUAGGGGAGAAUGGAAUUCCUGGUGGAGCGGUGGAAUGCGCAGAUAUCAGGAGGAACACCAGUGGCGAAGGCGGUUCUCUGGGCCUUUCCUGACGCUGAGGAGCGAAAGCGUGGGGAGCGAACAGGCUUAGAUACCCUGGUAGUCCACGCUGUAAACGGUGGGUACUAGGUGUGGGGUCCAUUCCACGGGUUCCGUGCCGUAGCUAACGCUUUAAGUACCCCGCCUGGGGAGUACGGCCGCAAGGCUAAAACUCAAAGGAAUUGACGGGGCCCCGCACAAGCGGCGGAGCAUGCGGAUUAAUUCGAUGCAACGCGUAGAACCUUACCUGGGUUUGACAUGGAUCGGGAGCGCUCAGAGAUGGGUGUGCCUCUUUUGGGGUCGGUUCACAGGUGGUGCAUGGCUGUCGUCAGCUCGUGUCGUGAGAUGUUGGGUUAAGUCCCGCAACGAGCGCAACCCUUGUUCACUGUUGCCAGCACGUUAUGGUGGGGACUCAGUGGAGACCGCCGGGGUCAACUCGGAGGAAGGUGGGGAUGACGUCAAGUCAUCAUGCCCCUUAUGUCCAGGGCUUCACGCAUGCUACAAUGGCUGGUACAGAGAGUGGCGAGCCUGUGAGGGUGAGCGAAUCUCGGAAAGCCGGUCUCAGUUCGGAUUGGGGUCUGCAACUCGACCUCAUGAAGUCGGAGUCGCUAGUAAUCGCAGAUCAGCAACGCUGCGGUGAAUACGUUCCCGGGGCUUGUACACACCGCCCGUCAAGUCAUGAAAGUUGGUAACACCCGAAGCCGGUGGCCUAACCGUUGUGGGGAGCCGUCGAAGUGGACUUGAUUUCC
rnacentral:rRNA from 1 species